UGGCGGACGGGUGAGUAACACGUAAGAAUUUGCCUUUAGGAGGGGGACAACAAUUGGAAACGAUUGCUAAUACCCCAUAUGCUUUCGAGUGAAAUGGAUUUUUCCGCCUAAAGAGAAGCUUGCGGCUGAUUAGCUUGUUGGUAAGGUAAUGGCUUACCAAGGCGACGAUCAGUAUCUGGUUUGAGAGGACGAUCAGACACACUGGAACUGAGACACGGUCCAG
rnacentral:rRNA from 1 species